ACGAACGCUGGCGGCGUGCUUAACACAUGCAAGUCGAGCGGAAAGGCCACUUCGGUGGUACUCGAGCGGCGACCGGGUGAGUAACACGUGAGUAAUCUGCCCUUGGCUUUGGGAUAGCCACCGGAAACGGUGAUUAAUACCGGAUACGACCACUCCAGGCAUCUGGUGGUGGUGGAAAGUUUUUCGGCCAGGGAUGUGCUCGCGGCCUAUCAGCUUGAUGGUGAGGUAAUGGCUCACCAUGGCUUCGACGGGUAGCCGGCCUGAGAGGGUGACCGGUCACACUGGGACUGAGACACGGCCCAGACUCCUACGGGAGGCAGCAGUGGGGAAUAUUGGACAAUGGGCGGAAGCCUGAUCCAGCAACGCCGCGUGAGGGAUGACGGCCUUCGGGUUGUAAACCUCUUUCGGUAGGGACGAAGCGCAAGUGACGGUACCUACUAAAGAAGCACCGGCCAACUACGUG
rnacentral:rRNA from 1 species